rnacentral:rRNA from 1 species
UACGGGGGGGGCAAGCGUUGUUCGGAAUUACUGGGCGUAAAGGGCUUGUAGGUGGCCAACUAAGUCAGACGUGAAAUCCCUCGGCUUAACCGGGGAACUGCGUCUGAUACUGGAUGGCUUGAGUGUGGGAGAGGGAUGCGGAAUUCCAGGUGUAGCGGUGAAAUGCGUAGAUAUCAGGAGGAACACCGGUGGCGAAGGCGGUUCUCUGGGCAUGUCCUGACGCUGAGGAGCGAAAGUGUGGGGAGCGAACAGG